rnacentral:rRNA from 1 species
GACGAACGCUGGCGGCGUGCUUAACACAUGCAAGUCGAACGGAAAGGCCCUGCUUUUGUGGGGUUCUCGAGUGGCGAAAGGGUGAGUAACACGUGAGUAACCUGCCCUUGACUUUGGGAUAACUUCAGGAAACUGGGGCUAAUACCGGAGAGGAACUCCUGCUGCAUGGGGGGGGUUGGAAAGUUUCGGCGGUGGGGGAUGGACUCGCGGCUUAUCAGCUUGUUGGUGGGGUAGUGGCUUACCAAGGCUUUGACGGGUAGCCGGCCUGAGAGGGUGACAGGCCACAUUGGGACUGAGAUAAGGCAGAGACUCCUACGGGAGGCAGCAGUGGGGAAUAUUGCACAAUGGGCGGAAGCCUGAUGAAGCAACGCCGCGUGCGGGAUGACGGCCUUCGGGUUGUAAACCGCUUUCGCCUGUGACGAAGCGUGAGUGACGGUAAUGGGUAAAGAAGCACCGGCUAACUACGUG